rnacentral:rRNA from 1 species
CCUANGGGGGGCAGCAGCUAAGAAUAUUCCGCAAUGGACGAAAGUCUGACGGAGCGACGCCGCGUGGAUGACGAAGGCCGAAAGGUUGUAAAGUCCUUUUGCUGGGGAAGAAUAACCAUGGGAGGUAAUGCCCGUGGGAUGACAUGAACCGGCGAAUAAGCCCCGGCUAACUACGUGCCAGCAGCCGCGGUAACACGUAGGGGGCAAGCGUUGUUCGGAAUUACUGGGCGUAAAGGGCAUGUAGGCGGCCCUAUAAGCCUGGCGUGAAAGUCACCGGCUCAACCGGUGGAUUGCGCUGGGAACUGUGGGGCUCGAGUCAUGGAGAGGGAGCUAGAAUUCCUGGUGUAGGGGUGAAAUCUGUAGAGAUCAGGAAGAAUACCAGUGGCGAAGGCGAGCUCCUGGCCAAUGACUGACGCUGAGGUGCGAAAGUGUGGGGAUCAAACAGGAUUAGAUACCCGUNUANUC